UACGUACUGUGCGAACGUUAUUCGGAAUCACUGGGCUUAAAGGGUGCGUAGGCGGUUACUUAAGUAGGGUGUGAAAUCCCAUGGCUCAACCAUGGAACUGCGCUCUAAAACUGGGUGCUUGAGUGAGAUAGGGGUAUGCGGAACUUCCAGUGGAGCGGUGAAAUGUGUAGAUAUUGGAAGGAACACCGGUGGCGAAGGCGGCAUACUGGGUCUUAACUGACGCUGAGGCACGGAAAGCUAGGGUAGCGAACGGGAUUAGAUACCCCCGGUAGUCC
rnacentral:rRNA from 1 species